AUAGGAAGAGCCCAAUUUCAGGAAACAGCCAGCCGAAGCCCAUAUAGCAAGAGCCCAAUCUCAAAUAUUGAGCAACAAAAAAGUUUUUCACCUGGUCUGGAGGUGGCGUUGGGAGAGGGGUUGAUUGCCAGAUUAGAUGAGCCCACGGAGUUAGGUGAAUCAAGUUGAAAUCAGAAAAUCUCUGCAUUCCAGGCUGGGAUUACCUCUUGAUCAUCCUCUCCUAAGGAUUGCCAAUGCCAUUACUUUAUCUAUAACCAACGAUAGCGCAAGAAGCAAUUCCACGCGAAAGAUUUCCCUUUGCUUAAUGAUGUACAUCUUGGAAUUCCAAGCAGUGGAGGUUAGUGGUGGCUGUUGGCCUUUUAAUUUUUCCUUUUCUUUUCCUGAUUUCUCUUAGUUUCACUUGCACUGAAAAUCGUGAUGCAUUGUACAGUUUCUGGGGCUAGUUUCCCUUAUUCAAUGUUCUUUACCUUCUACAUGGAUUUGAUGACUCAGUGAGAGAGUUUCUCCUCUCAAGUUUUUUUUUUUUUUAUUUUUUUUUAUUUUUUAUAAUUAGGAAAGGGCUUAACCCUCUAGACAAGCAUCAAGGGGCACUCCCCAGCUAUACAAAAAAAUCCAGAAAUUCCAAGCCCACCAGUGUUGUAACGAAAAAACAAUAGCACCCAUGAGCAUCUACAUGUCUACAGUAAACGAGAAUAUCAACAAAAGCCUUGGUACUAUGAACAAAACAGUAGCCACACCCCUCAAACCACAAAAAAUAAUCCGAAAUAUCACAAGCAACUGGGGCAAAUAAAACAGGUAUUAAAGAAGAGCAGAGCAAAAUGAUGAAACUCCAUUUUAGUUUUAUGUUAUGCCAUCUUAAAAAAGAGUUAGUUUUUGGCUUUUGAUUUUAAAAUCAUCGGUUUACGAUGACUAUUUGUCUAUAUGGUAUAUUUUAUAAAUUAAGUUUCAUUAGAAUCUUUCCUGAGUCAUAUGAUUUUAUUGUCUAUCGUAGAAAUUCCUCCAAAUGCCACUCUCAGUUCAUGCUUAGCUUUUUAUACAGUUUUUCAUCACAGUAAACGAUCAAGGCGUCAAGUACUUCACCUUCAGUUGGCUUUUAAGCCUUACAUAAGUAUAUGGAAGUCUUUCUCUGUAACCUUCAGGCUUUCAUGUUUCAUAGGGAUCCUAUUGUUGGAGUAAAUUUUAUUAUCGUGGAGAUUCAAACUCAGCUUGCUUUCGUACGGUAGUUGUUCAUUUUUUUGCUGGUUCCAGUAAACAAGGGAUUCGUGAAAUUUUCAGUUCCUUCUACAAAAUUCUACACACUUUCGGAUGGAGAAUGCUGUUAGAAAAAGAGAUGCUCCACUUUUAUUUGGUCAGAUAAAAGCUAAGCCUAUUGGGUUUUACCAGCAUUCUGUCCAAUGCAAAUUUACUGUUGCUGGUUAGGCAAAGUAAGGUUCAAGGCUUAUGUAGAAUUUCGCAAUUUCUUCAUGGAAUCCAUCUUUUGUUUCAGAUAAAUUUGAUCGGACUUUCCUAGAUUGGCUUGAAUUUAUUGUUGGCUGACUGGGAAAUGGAUAUCUGACUUGGGGGAUCUUUAUGUUCCAAAAUUUUAAAGGGCCCUUUUAUCUGCUGAUUAUUUAUUUAUUUAUUGUUAUAUAUUAUUAUUUUGAAAUGCGGUUAUCCCUAGUGGCUUAAUUCCUGCUUUGGCAUGUAUUUAUUUUUUUGUUUGUUUGCUUUUAAAGGCUUUUUUGUGUUCUUUGCUGUAUCUGCUCUUCUUUUCUUUUCUUUUUCUAUAUUUUUUUCCCCCUAUAUAUGAGAAACACUGUGUAUCUCAUACAUUCGCUUUGUCCCAAUUAGGACUUGGACCUGUGACCUCUUGAGAAUUGGAAGUGGAGGAGAUACGGCUAAGCUAUUGCUUGGUGGUUAUAUCUGCUUUACUUUUCAAUAAUAUUUCUUUGUUUUUAUUAAUUUAAAUAUAUUUUACUUAAUGCAUGAUGUGUAAGGUAUUAUUGGAUUGUAUUAACUAUGUUUUUUUAAAAUCAACGUAUGCUAUUGCAAUCAA